AUAUCAAAAUAUUUAUCGUUCAACUAACGUAUCACAUUCGGUACGGUAAUUAUUCGAUUAAACGAAAUUAGUCACAUCGGUAAGAAAAGAAAGACGCGUCUUUCGCGUUUAAAGACCGUCCGCGAUGCGAUACAAAUUUAGAAUCCGAUGUUAAUGCCCUUCCGCACCCUCGCGAUUCUGGCUCGAAGCUUAUUUGGCUCGGCGCAACAUCGUUCACACUGGUUGGAACGUUUAUUUAUCGUUGUCGACCGACCGACGAUUCUCGCGAUGAAACUUUACGGUAAUUUAUUGGAUAAUUUGUUUAGUAUCUUUGGAAAAAGCUAACAAAAGGUUUCUCUUUUAUUCUUUCGUUCGUUGUUUCGCAACAUUCAUAUGUAAUUAUUUGUACUAGUUUCAUGAAUUUUCCUUGUCAUCGAACCAUAUGCAACGUUUCAAAAAUACUCUACUGUUAUUAAUAUCAUUAUUGUGGUUUCGGCAGUAUGUCCUUACGCACAUUAAUAAUAAUAAUAAUAGUAUCGAUUGAAUAACGCGUAUCCACGUCGUCCACUGUAGUAACGCCAAUGUAUUAUCUUGAAGCUUUCUUUUCUCUCGUUCAGACGCGAUAAGACAAGUGUCUUCGUUUCGAAAUGAUGGGUCGAACGUUGUGCGAAAAAUUUAAUGUGGGAUGUUACGAGCUUCUAUUUUUCGAUCGUCGUCGUAUCGUUUCCCACUGGAGAAUCCUUCCUCUAUUUUUACCGAUCCGAUUCCCGGUGAUCGAAUCGUCACGCGAUACCUCCUCAUCAUACGGCUAAGACUGUUCUGUAGCUAUACAUAGGCAGCUGGCUGCCCUCGAUCGAAUGGAAGCACAAAUAAACUCCGAGAGAGCGUGGCUUCUAUGGGCGCAGAUAACUUAUCUGCCUUGUUUCUUUUUCCUCGCCACGUUUUAAUUUCUUCACUCAAACUUCUACCAUGAUGGAACACCCAGCAAAAUGCUUUUCAUUUAGAAAAGAUUAAACGAGAUUCUGGCGAUCCAACAUCGCUGACGAAAGGGUCAGGAAGCCGAAAGGGAAACGACGAAACUGAGAACGGGACUAAAUUUAGUUGCGUCCAGUAAACACGAUACGAUUUCAACGUCGACGAUUUGAAAGACCGGAAAGCCAAGAAUGGCAAGGAGAGGAGCUCGUACUACUACAUCCUGUUAAAACAGUCGUCUCUGUUCGUUACAUCUUGGAGAACCUUAAUUUUAUUUUAUGUCUAACAAAAAGAAGAAUUAUAGUACAAAAACAUAGCGACUAUCCGAGUGUUAAAAUUGAAUUUUCAUACGUUUACAUAUGUCGAUUUGUUAAUUAUAUGAAAUGUAUUGAUUAAAUAUUGUUAGUUAACAUC